AGGACUAUUGCAGAGAAGCCCUGUCUUGAAAAACUGGAAUGGUACACAGAAGACUAGUGUGGUCUCUGGGCAAGGAUGGCCGCAAACUCAAGAAGCGGCCCAUCUUUAA
rnacentral:snRNA from 1 species